rnacentral:rRNA from 1 species
AGUCGAGAAUCAUUCACAAUGGGGGAAACCCUGAUGGUGCAACGCCGCGUGGAGGAUGACGGUCUUCGGAUUGUAAACUCCUGUCAUCUGGGAGUAAGACCUGGGGGUCAAUAGCCCACAGGGUUGAUAGUACCAGAAGAGGAAGGGACGGCUAACUUCGUGCCAGCAGCCGCGGUAAUACGAAGGUCCCAAGCGUUGUUCGGAAUCACUGGGCGUAAAGGGUGCGUAGGCGGCGUGGUAAGUCAGAUGUGAAAUCCCGGGGCUCAACCUCGGAACUGCAUCCGAUACUGCCACGCUAGAGGACCGGAGAGGAGACUGGAAUUCUCGGUGUAGCAGUGAAAUGCGUAGAGAUCGAGAGGAACACUCGUGGCGAAGGCGAGUCUCUGGACGGUUCCUGACGCUGAGGCACGAAGGCCAGGGGAGCGAAAGGGAUUAGAUACCCCUGUAGUCCUGGCAGUAAACGGUGCGCGCUUGGUGUGGGAGGAUUCGACCCCUUCUGUGCCGGAGCUAACGCGUUAAGCGCGCCGCCUGGGGAGUACGGCCGCAAGGCUAAAACUCAAAGAAAUUGACGGGGACCCGCACAAGCGGUGGAGUAUGUGGCUUAAUUCGAUGCAACGCGAAGAACCUUACCUGGGCUUGACAUGCAUCUCUAAGCACGUGAAAGCGUGUGACCCUUCGGGGAAUUUGCACAGGUGCUGCAUGGCCGUCGUCAGCUCGUGUCGUGAGAUGUUGGGUUAAGUCCCGCAACGAGCGCAACCCCUGUGAAUAGUUGCCAGCACGUUAUGGUGGGGACUCUAUUCAGACUGCCCAGAUCAACUGGGAGGAAGGUGGGGACGACGUCAGGUCAGUAUGGCCCUUACGCCCAGGGCUGCACACGUACUACAAUGCCCAGUACAAUGAGAACCGAGACCGCGAGGUGGAGGAAAUCUGGAAAACUGGGCCCAGUUCGGAUUGGAGGCUGCAACCCGCCUCCAUGAAGUCGGAAUCGCUAGUAAUGGCGCAUCAGCAACGGCGCCGUGAAUACGU